rnacentral:RNase_P_RNA from 1 species
ACAGCAGGCUAUCUUAUCGCUUUAGUUUUUUCUAGAGAGGAAAGUCCGGACACCAUAGAGCAGCAUAGCGGGUAACACCCGUCCUUCUAAAGAAGCGGACAAGUGCAACAGAAAGCAAGUACAGUUUGGCUGUAGUGAAAUCAGGUAAACUCUAUGCGGUGCAACGCCAAAUAGUUCUACUAUAAAGAAUUGCUCGUUCAAUGUAGAUGGGUAGGCGGCUAGAGUAUAGAAGUAAUUUUAUAUCAAGAUAAAUGAUAAGACUUGACAGAAUCCGGCUUACAGGCCUGCUUUUUAU